CGUAGGUCGUGUCGCGUGUCACGUGGUAUCGUUUCGCGUCGCGUUGACGCCGAUCUCUCUCUCUCUUCUCCGACGAGAGAACGCACGAGCUGCGCCGAUUGUUGAAAAUACGAUGCCGUGCGUCGCGUGAGAAACGAUUGCUCGCGAAGAAUUGUUCUUGCGGUACUGGUUUUCGCAUGAUUGCCGCGCGACGUGUACAUUCGCGUACACGUUGUGCGAUUGUGCCUGCUUUGCUCAUUGUUUCGCAUCUUCGUCGCCGCGAUCGGUGUACGUUGUUUCUUCAGUGACCCCUGUCGCGCGCGUGCGUGUGUGUAUAUAUGUGUAUAUAUGUGUCGGUUGCGCGAAAUAGCGUGACGCCGUGCGCCACGUUUGAACGACCGUUACGCGUUCGGAUUCGGGAGUGCCGGUCUCGAAGCUAAGUUCAUGGUAUCGCGAUGUGUCUCGGCUUGUGCGUGCGACGUCCUUGGUGAGGAGAUUACAACAAGAGAGCCGUGAAGCGAGAAAGAGAGACAAGGCAACAAAGGUGACGUGCUGAGAGAAGGACGUGAGCGAAGAACAUUGCUGUUGAUUGACGGAUACGAGCCGGACGCAAGCACGCCGAUGUUGAUGCUUUCUAUAAAGGGAAUAGCACUAUUUGUGGUACGCAACCGAUUAUAAUAGCUUGGUAACAUUAAUCAUCCUCGUGUUUCUUCAUCUCGGAGAUAUUGCUGUGAAUUUUCCCGGAAGUUUUCUGCCCACUUCCAAGCACGGACGCAAAAAGUUAAUAUUUGGACCAUGUUUUUUGAACGGUGCUGCGAGCAGGAUGCCGACCACUGAGGGACACGAUCGUACCGUCCAUGUAGUCCAGGAGAAACUAUCCCAGUUCGACACGUAGCAUCAUCCUUGGUUCGAGUGGCAUUCGAUAGAAUCGUGAAACAUUACUAUCCUGAGAUUAGAACGAACACAGUCACUACAACACGACGAGACGAACAAUGCCGGGUAUUCAUCAAUCAUCAAUAUUGCCCUUCGGCAUUUAAUAUCAAUAGAAAAAAAGACGAAGGAAAAAGGAAAAGAGAACAUGAAAGAGAGCACAGCACGUUUUUCUCUUCUUUUAAAUUAUUGUAGUACUAUUAUAGUACCAGUAGAGAAUUUCUCGUAUUUAUCUAGUUCUUGUAAAGCACAAAAGAAAAAAAGGAAAAAAAUGAUCAAGAUGAGGUUCUCUCUCCUUGUAAAUAGAUGAAUAGAUAUAUAUCAUAAGAUUGAGAAACCUAAAUCUUUCGUUGGUCGGAUCAUU
rnacentral:misc_RNA from 1 species